rnacentral:rRNA from 1 species
UACGUAGGUGGCGAGCGUUGUCCGGAUUUACUGGGCGUAAAGAGCGCGCAGGCGGUCGAUCAAGUCGGAUGUGAAAGCCCCCGGCUCAACUGGGGAGGGUCAUUCGAUACUGGUCGACUCGAAGGCAGGAGAGGGAAGCGGAAUUCCCGGUGUAGUGGUGAAAUGCGUAGAUAUCGGGAGGAACACCAGUGGCGAAGGCGGCUUCCUGGCCUGUUCUUGACGCUGAGGCGCGAAAGCUAGGGGAGCAAACGGGG